rnacentral:lncRNA from 1 species
AAAAAGUUGACACACAGGAUUUGGCAGCUGGGACUCACUGAGAACCUGGGGUUCCUCUUCCUCAUCCAGUCCCCACUUCAUUUCCUCCCCCCUUUCUUCUACAUGCAUUGUCAGAUGUAGCUCAAGCUGGCCUCAAACUCGUGAUCGACCUGCUCCACUUCCUCAGUCAAAGCGCAGGAGCCUUAGGUGGGCCGCACCACUGUCUUCUCAGUUCUUGCAGCUGCUGAGAGGUAAAUGUGACCAUCCAACGAGUGUUGACUCUGUGCCUUUCCAGAAGCAGGAAGCCUUCAAGGAAUGAACUGCCUGAAGUUCUAGAUGUUAUUGCAAACGAAAUGAAGAUUUCUUGUAUAUUUUAAUCAUGAAAGCAUCUCUGUCCCUUCCCUCCCUGGAAACAAGGCAAAGGUCCUUUGAGGUAGUUACAUAGUCCCUUUCCCAGUCAGGGGGCUGGGGGGAAAAUACACUUCCUAUAGUGUCAAGAGGGUUCAGGUAAGAAGAGCAAG